rnacentral:rRNA from 1 species
UACGUAGGGUGCAAGCGUUGUCCGGAAUUAUUGGGCGUAAAGAGCUCGUAGGCGGUCUGUCGCGUCUGCUGUGAAAAUCCGGGGCUCAACCCCGGACUUGCAGUGGGUACGGGCAGGCUAGAGUUCGGUAGGGGAGACUGGAAUUCCUGGUGUAGCGGUGAAAUGCGCAGAUAUCAGGAGGAACACCGGUGGCGAAGGCGGGUCUCUGGGCCGAUACUGACGCUGAGGAGCGAAAGCGUGGGGAGCGAACAGG